GAUAACCGCUGAAGGCAUCUAAGCGGGAAGCCCGCCUCAAGAUAAACCAUCCCUGAGGGUUUAACCCUCCUGAAGGCGCCAGGAAGACUACCUGGUUGAUAGGGCGGCGGUCUACGUGUCGUCAUGCAUUCAGCCGACCGCUCCUCAUCCGCCGUGAGGCUUGACCAU
rnacentral:rRNA from 1 species